rnacentral:rRNA from 1 species
AUACGGAGGGUGCAAGCGUUAUUCGGAAUCACUGGGCGUAAAGGACGCGUAGGCGGGUUGGCAAGUCAGAUGUGAAAUCCUACAGCUUAACUGUAGAACUGCAUUUGAAACUGCUAACCUAGAGUAUGGGAGGGGGAGAUGGAAUUAGUGGUGUAGGGGUAAAAUCCGUAGAUAUCACUAGGAAUACCGAAAGCGAAGGCGAUCUCCUGGAACAUAACUGACGCUGAGGUGCGAAAGCAUGGGGAGCAAACAGGAUUAGAGACCCGAGUAGUCC